rnacentral:rRNA from 1 species
UACGUAGGUGGCAAGCGUUGUCCGGAUUUACUGGGCGUAAAGGGCGUGCAGGCGGUUUGUUAAGUGCAGGGUGAAAGCUCCCGGCUCAACUGGGAGAGGUCCUUGCAUACUGGCGAACUCGAGGGAGGCAGAGGAAAGUGGAAUUCCUGGUGUAGCGGUGAAAUGCGCAGAUAUCAGGAAGAACACCCGUGGCGAAGGCGGCUCUCUGGGACGGUACUGACGCUGAGACGCGAAAGCGUGGGGAGCGAACAGG